UACGUAGGGUGCAAGCGUUGUCCGGAAUUAUUGGGCGUAAAGAGCUCGUAGGCGGUCUGUCGCGUCGGCUGUGAAAACCCGGGGCUCAACCCCGGGCCUGCAGUCGAUACGGGCAGACUAGAGUGUGGUAGGGGAGACUGGAAUUCCUGGUGUAGCGGUGAAAUGCGCAGAUAUCAGGAGGAACACCGGUGGCGAAGGCGGGUCUCUGGGCAGUAACUGACGCUGAGGAGCGAAAGCAUGGGGAGCGAACAGG
rnacentral:rRNA from 1 species